rnacentral:rRNA from 1 species
AAUCAACGCUGGCGGCGUGCCUAACACAUGCAAGUCGAACGCGAAAGCCCCGCAAGGGGUAAGUAGAGUGGCAAACGGGUGAGUAACACGUGGGUGACCUGCCCUCGAGCGGGGGAUAACGUCCCGAAAGGGACGCUAAUACCGCAUAACAUCCUGCCUUUGAAGAGGCGGUGAUCAAAGCUGGGGAUCGCAAGACCUAGCACUCGAAGAGGGGCCCGCGUCCGAUUAGCUAGUUGGUGGGGUAAUGGCCCACCAAGGCAACGAUCGGUAGCCGGCCUGAGAGGGCGGACGGCCACACUGGGACUGAGACACGGCCCAGACUCCUACGGGAGGCAGCAGUGGGGAAUUGUUCGCAAUGGGCGCAAGCCUGACGACGCAACGCCGCGUGGAGGAUGAAGAUCUUCGGGUCGUAAACUCCUUUCGAUCGAGACGAAUUCCUCUGGGGUGAACAAUCCCGGAGGUUGACGGUACCGAGAGAAAAAGCCCCGGCUAACUCCGUGCCAGCAGCCGCGGUAAUACGGGGGGGGGCAAGCGUUGUUCGGAAUUACUGGGCGUAAAGGGCUCGUAGGUGGCCAACUAAGUCGGACGUGAAAUCCCUCGGCUUAACCGGGGAACUGCGUCCGAUACUGGUUGGCUUGAGUUUGGGAGAGGGAUGCGGAAUUCCAGGUGUAGCGGUGAGAUGCGUAGAUAUCUGGAGGAACACCGGUGGCGAAAGCGGCAUCCUGGACCAAUACUGACGCUGAGGAGCGAAAGCCAGGGGAGCAAACGGGAUUAGAUACCCCGGUAGUCCUGGCCCUAAACGAUGAAUGCUUGGUGUGGCGGGUAUCGAUCCCUGCCGUGCCGAAGCUAACGCAUUAAGCAUUCCGCC